rnacentral:lncRNA from 1 species
UUUUAAAACGUGUUUUCAUUUUUAGAAAUCAGAGUGUGUGAAAAUGGCAAGAGAAGAGAAAGUGUUGGACUGAAUAACAGAAGGGUCUUUGAAGUCCAGUGGCAAGACAAAAGUCAAGACAACUGGUGAUAGGCCAAGAUGUAGCGGAUGACC